GAUGAACGCUAGCGGCAGGCUUAACACAUGCAAGUCGAGGGGCAACAUUGGAGCUUGCUUCAGAUGACGACCGGCGCACGGGUGCGUAACGCGUAUAGAAUCUACCUUAUACUAAGGGAUAGCCUUUGGAAACGAAGAUUAAUACCUUAUAGUAUGUNUACUUCGCAUGGAGUUCACAUUAAAGAUUACGGUAUAAGAUGACUAUGCGUUCUAUUAGCUAGAUGGUGUGGUAACGGNACACCAUGGCAACGAUAGAUAGGGGCCCUGAGAGGGGGAUCCCCCACACUGGUACUGAGACACGGACCAGACUCCUACGGGAGGCAGCAGUGAGGAAUAUUGGUCAAUGGAGGCAACUCUGAACCAGCCAUGCCGCGUGCAGGAAGACGGCUCUACGAGUUGUAAACUGCUUUUACACGGGAAUAAACUUCAUUACGUGUAGUGAACUGAAUGUACCGUAUGA
rnacentral:rRNA from 1 species